GACGAACGCUGGCGGCGUGCUUAACACAUGCAAGUCGAACGGAAAGGCCCUGCUUUUGUGGGGUGCUCGAGUGGCGAACGGGUGAGUAACACGUGAGUAACCUGCCCUUGACUUUGGGAUAACUUCAGGAAACUGGGGCUAAUACCGGAUAGGAGCUCCUGCUGAAUGGUGGGGGUUGGAAAGUUUCGGCGGUUGGGGAUGGACUCGCGGCUUAUCAGCUUGUUGGUGGGGUAGUGGCUUACCAAGGCUUUGACGGGUAGCCGGCCUGAGAGGGUGACCGGCCACAUUGGGACUGAGAUACGGCCCAGACUCCUACGGGAGGCAGCAGUGGGGAAUAUUGCACAAUGGGCGGAAGCCUGAUGCAGCAACGCCGCGUGCGGGAUGACAGCCUUCGGGUUGUAAACCGCUUUCGCCUGUGACGAAGCGUGAGUGACGGUAAUGGGUAAAGAAGCACCGGCUAACUACGUG
rnacentral:rRNA from 1 species